CAUCGUUAAGCAUCUCCCGUCGUAUUUAUGUUCGAAUCGCACCGAAACGUACGCAGAUCGUGAUCAUCGACGUGUGCCGGCAAAGUAUUCGACAAAGUAUUUUUCGCGAAGAUAUUGGACGACUGAACCGAUAUUUUGCUGAUGCCAUGCUGAUGUCUGUGAGGAUAAUAUUAAUCGACCUGAGGGUUCUCUCCUUUCACCUCGAGACUCGAAAGAUUCCUGCCGUUUUAUUCAUUAGCAGCCGUCCGUGUGGGUCCGAUCUAUCCCGACCGCCCCUAUUACCUAGCCGCUAAUGAAUUCACCGAGUAUGCAGAGGGUGUGCACGUCGGAGCGUUUAAGCGAGGCGGCGAAACAAAGGAGCGGCUCCGGGAUAUGGCCGCACAAAGGCAGACGUCCCGCCGGCCGAUCUUAUAAUCCGUCCCGUGCCGUAUAAAUUAUUGUUCCCUUCGACCGUACAUGUCGAUUUCAUGCCGUUUUUAACGUCCACGCGGACCUGUGACCCAAGAGAAGCGAGGGUUUCAAUGAUGAACGACGAGAGUGGAUUUCGACUCGCUCAAUUCCUCUCAGCGACGCUUUCUUUGAAGUGUGAGCCGAUUGUUGGUUUUUUAUUAGGCGAGUGACACGACGAUUACAUUUGUGGCAACGUAUAAUUUCGUGACGACGAGUAUCACUGCGAAAUUUCAGGGUUUCUUCCUUGUCCUGCUUUUUCCGUCUCGAAUCACUCAGUUCCCUUUACUGGCUGGUUUAUUCGACGUGUGGCUGAUUAUCGGUCUUUUACUAGGCGAGCGUGUGGUAGAAGAAUUACGUUCGUGAAACUGUAUUUCACGAAAGUAAGCGUCGCUAGAGUAUUUCGGAAUCUUUUUUACGUUUGCGGAGAAUUAUACGUUACGUUGUAUUAGGCGAAAUCACAUACACGUAUGUCUAGGUGCGUAGGACACGUCGGCUCAUUGUUGCGCUUUUAUCAGUUGAGUGUAAAAAACGAGAACGAUGUUUGUAGAAGAUAUUUCGUAAAACGUGAACGACAUCAUAUUUCAGGAUGUUCUUUUACUUUAGAAACAAGUAAUAGGUAACAUGUGACAGCGUUCGUCAGUCAGACUUUCUUUGUCUACAUACAGAAAGACGAAACGAAGAAAGAAAUUGAUCUAUGAAAAAAUAUCUAUGCAUCUAAAUGUCAUUUUUAAUUACAUCUAAUGUAAUCUUCUACAAACAUCAAGGAAUAUCCCAAAAUUGUAUGGUAACAUCCUAAAUAUAACCGACUGCGCAAUUAAAUUCCGAGGUUAACGAAAUUGUAUUUCUGGAAAGAGAACCCAAUGGAAUUUCAGUAUAAAUUUCUCGUAAUAGCCGCGAUAAACGAUAAAGUAAUAACCGCGAACUCUCGUUAAUAUCACAAUAUUGGCGCGACGAAGAAACGAGAAGAAAAAGGUUUAACCAUGUGAAUAGUUCGAUGGACGAAAGUGUGAGGUAGAAUGGCGGAAGUUCACGAUUGGAGAGGGACAUCGAGCGUCGGUGCUCGAAUCGAACACUGAAACGAAGCGUCGAAUUCGAGCAUUCGGGGAUCUGGGCGAUCACUCGAUGCCUCUACUGUUUUGCAUUCAAUCUACUCGGAUGCCUGGCCAUUAUUUGCCCCAGGGCCGGUGUACGCAUAGGCAGAACAGCAACCCUCUUGCACAGACUGUAACACGUACGUGCGAUGCCUUUCGAUGGUUCGCCGAAAUGUCGAUUAUGGGCAAGAUGCGGUUUGUCGUAGGUUCGCCAGAAUUCUCGUCCGUGUUCGUUGCACAGUUUCUGCGACAAUCGUAACGGAGAAGCAACGUUUCGUCUUUGCUACUUCCUUUUCAACAAUUUCAACCGGUUCGUAUUUUUCCAAAGUUAACACAUUGUUCACCGGUCACGAGUGAACUUGUAUCUUCAUCCAUCACAAAUUUAACAUAGCUUUCGUAUAAAACAAUUAGUCAGUAGUAACGUGUUAAAAAAUAUGUCAAGUUCGAUUACAAGUUAUUUUGACAAAUUGAUUUAUAAAUUGCGAAAAGUUCUUGUCGGCGUUUAUAUGGUUCCUGGUCGAAAUUUUGGACGUACGUUAAAUCUUCGUUUACAUUGUAUCUAGUACAUCCUCUUCUAGACGUUAAGUAUUCUUUUUGUUCGUUGAAAUAAGAGCAACAUAUAAAUCUGAGGAUAGCAGCAGGUUUAAGUUUGCUUAUUCUCGGCUAUCCCGUGUUUCGAGUUUCGAGAAUCGUUGCGACGAAGUUGCAGAUAGGACCGUGCACUCUAGGGAUAUUCAGAAGGUUUUUUUUCUGAAGACGACCAAUCAGUUUUUACGUUCGGGUAUUGUAAAGCGUGCGAGAAAAUUUUAUCGGCACACUGGGAGACAUCGACCGAUUGUCAUCCACCUUUUUAUCCGCUAUCUGAUAUCGUUCUCUGUUUUUACCUCUUUGCCUUACCUUGUAGUGUAGAGGAGAUGUUUCUUUCAAACGGAAAUCGCAAUGGAAAAUGUGUGUAUGUUGGCUUGAAUUCGAUAAUACAAUGUUACUUUCGUUGUCUGGUUAUGGCGGUAUGUUUCUACUUGGAGUUUCAGUGCGCGGCAGUAGAAAAGAAAGGCAAUAAUCUGACGCGACGGAAACAUCGUAUAUGAGACAUUUAGAAGAGAAUCUGUCAUACUUUCAGUUACACUAUACUAGUUUAUACUACGUAUAAACCUGUGAUUUUGUUUAAAUUUAUGUACGAAAGAAAGGUAUUUGUAGAAUAUCUUGGACAGUUUUUCUGCCGAACAAAGCCAAACUUACUCCAUAAGAAAUUUACUUCAACACCAGUAAAACGCUCUUACAACUCAGUUGCUUCGUUCUAUUCUUCGCUAAUCCUCUUCAUCCGCGCUAAUAAAGUCUUUGAACGUCCACCUCUGGGUCGAAGCAACGAAUUCAACGCAAUUAAUUCUCCAUGACGAUCUUGAUAGGAUUCUCGAUCAAAAUGAAGAUUGAAUAUCUCUCUCAUCAUAAAUUCCUCUAUGCAGCAAACACCCACAACUUUCAUUUCCCUUGCCAUAAAACCUCCUACUCUGCGCCAAAAAUAUCGCCAUCAACAGCCAAUACUCUGCGAACCACGGACCAACCUGUGACCGAUGAAACUUCCCACGUACCUCUAAACGCCACGAUCGCCUAUGAACGACGAAAUUUAUUCAGCACAUAAACAGAAAUCCCGCUGACGAGAUCUAAACGCCGCUAUCGACGAGCGUGCUCGUAAAAACGGCGAUGUUCGAGCGAACGGCAGAUAGAGAGGCGCGAUGCUCACGCGGCGUAAAACCGCGCGAAAACGCGUCGACACGACUCGAACCGUGGAUAAAAGCCGGCUGUCACGCGAUCGUCGGCCAAAGGCGCGGAUGGAUAACAAGCGUUUAACGUAUUUUCGCGAAAACAUCGGUCGGUCACGUACUCGCCAGCCUGACGCGCUCGUAACCGAGCAAAACGAACGAGUAAAUGACGUGGACGCGAGAGAACCGCUCGCCACUACCUUUGGCUACUUCGUCCUUUUGUCUUUUAUCCUCUUUCACUGAAUUUACCAUGGAAAAAUUUAGUCCUCUGCUUUCUCUCGUAGAUCUCCGCGGAGGUAACUAUCGGGAUUAUGUUUCCGGUUUUAGGUCUGCAUUAUGCUUGCGACAGAAUAAAUUAUAAAAUGUAUAAAGUAAGAUAAAAUACAAGGCACAGCAUUGUUGUAUUCACAUAUUAUAGCACUUACGUGUUAAUUGACUAGAUCCAAGUGUAUUAAAUUUCGUGUCGUUUAGUGAUACUCACACGACUAAAUUCACACGGCAAAAAUUUAAUCAUACGAGAAUGAAAUGCUGUUGAGGUUGUUAGACGUAUAAAGAGAGAGACGCGUGGAUAAAUUAUAAAGUAGAAAAAUAUAUUUUAAAUACAGAAGUGAAAAGUACAAGAAUGAAAUAAUAAUUUGAGCUGGUCCAGAUCCGCACGCUAACAGUAUUACUCUGUAACCUCAACAAAUGCAAUGGCUGAUAAAAGAAUGUUUCGAGAUAAGAGACGUGGCAAUACUUUUUCUGACCGCUGUGUAUUUUAAGUUAUACGGGGUGGGUUAUUAGAAAGGAAACAAUGUUUGGGGUUGUAUGAAUAAUUUGUAGAUAUAGAUUUGUGUGUUUGAUUUAAUCGGCUUAUUACGCGUGGAUCUAGAUUCAAAUUUCUAUGAGUGGACUUAAAAAUGGGAAAGUUCUUCAAUCGUGUUUUCAACUGUUAGACCGACGUGUUGGUACUUUCUAUAAUUAUGCAAAGUUCUAGAUGUGUUUCCUGAGAAUUCUUGACGAAGCUUCGUGUAACAAAAAUUAGUUCCAUCGUUUAUUUUUCUUCUACGCCAUCAAACUUUCUUUCGUUACGUUCGUACUACGUAUCGAGGCCCACGUUGCAUUCCACGCAGGCUUCAACAGAAGGACUAUUUACUUUCUGAGGAACUAGCAAUUUUAAAAAGCACGUUCCUCCACAUUUCAUAAAGGAAUUCCAAGUAUAAACACGCGUUACUUUGUACCUUCUCGAAAAUUUGUCGCCGCGAGGACGUUUUAAUUCCGAGCUCUACCCCUGUCCCUCCGUCCGGAUUCUUUUAAUUUAAACACGAUCUUUAAUCUCGAAGAUUCCGACACUCGUCACCCGUUAAUUCUUUCGUCCGCUUAACGUCAAGCUUGGAAAAAAAUUCCACGUUAAUUCACCUCACGUUCUCUUUUACCGACACUCGCUUUCUUCAAACAUUCGUCAUUCUACAUCUACGCCGACGAUCUCGCUGUAAGAACCUUCUAUCCUAUCUACGUCCAACAUUUUUAUUCUCAUGUUGACACUAAGCCAGUCGAGAUACGGGGAAAAAGAGGAUUCCACCGCUGUAGAAUUCGAGUCGCUUAUUUGCCAAAAUCGGUUAAUUCUACGAAACAAAAAGUAGAAAAAUUUUGUGAGGUCCUACAAAGAUAGACAUAAAUGACAAGCGCUUUAGCAGGAAAAAUUUCAAAGAGCGGAGUUGCGACAAAACGCAGAGAAAAUUGACGAGACUAUGGAAGAUAAUAUAUGCACUUACAGGAUGUUUCAAAGUUCAAGAUUGCACAGAAUGCAUCCAACGCGAAAAGAUACGUAAAAUGUGCAAAGUGUAAUGCUUUCUAUAGUACUUGGAAUCCGCAAUUUAAAGAUAAGCAUCGGUCAAGUGCUUUGACCCUAAAAUUUCAAAAGGUGAAGCUGACCACUUUGAUUCGUGAGUGGCACGUUUUUGGAAAGAAACUCGACGAUAGCGACGAGCAAAGAGCAAUAAUUAGAGACGUGCCACGUUUCGUAAACAGUAUCGUUUCACACGGGCGAGACUGCAAGGUGGAAAAUUUCACCGAAGCUUAACAAUUACACGAUCUGUUACGCAAUUUCACUCUGGGGAUCGAGCGUUCGCUGGCCCGGGAAAUCCAUUGGCAAGCCGCUCGUUAAUCAAUUCUACGCGCCGAUUGCGAAGCAUUCGUGGCUUUAGAAUAAAAUCCUGGGGCCUGUGCACAAAGGCAGCACUCGAUUUAAAGGGAACAAUAGCUUCUGUGGCUCAUGAACGGGAUUACGUGCUCCGAAAUGCCUUCUGCUUCUUACGAACGCGCGCAACUCGUUGAGCGUGCCGACGUUUAAGAUGUGCGCACAUAAAUCGAAGGUGUAAAUAAGAAAUUCUGUGUGGUACGCGACCGAGUGUAUUUUGCUUUUCAAGAGCAUGAUGGAUGUCCAAGAGAGGUGGAUUUCCAAUUCGAGGUAGGCUUUGCGAGAGCUUAACUUCUUCAGUUUCUGAGUUCUUAUCUUCUCAGUUUGGCCAAUUUAAUUUGGAUAGCUUGAAGUUACACAAGGAUAUAAUGAAUAUUGUUUUAAGAUAUGUUUAAACGGAGGAAAUAUUUGGACAGAUGUAUAAACUUUGGUAUCAUAGCGAUUCAUUAAACGAAGGAAACAAAAAGAAAUAAUUGGAAUGUGAGAACGGAAAAACUGACGACGACAAGAUGGAACAAACUUUACAUAAGGGAACUUUACACAGUGAAUGUAUUUUAAGAUAUCUUCCAAUGAAAAUUUCGGUGCCUUGUCGAUUUAUUAAUAACUUGUUCAAGAAUACCAGGAAACAACUAGUACAGGAAAAAAUACACGGAAAAGAGAUACAGCAAAUUUUUCAUAUGCAUAAGAAAUACAGCGAAGAAAUUCCAAGGUAUGUUCGUACGAAAACGACCUCCAAAUUUGUUGGAGAUCCUAAAAUUCAUGAGAGAAUAUUGCAAGAUGUACGCAAAGUGUAUACAUGGAAACUUAACUUCCUGUUUUUCGUAAUAUAGUUAGCAAAGAGAAAUUUUCGAGGGAAACUUCGUCGUUUAAAGAGGAAGAAUUCGAGGGGUGCGUAUGCAUGCACGUUGAAACGUUAACCGGACGUGUGUACAUAUCGGGACGAGUGCUCUUGAAGGAAGACAAUGUGUGAUGAGAGUGUAGCGUGAAAGAGGCACGGAGAGCAGGAAGAGACUGGAGCUUUAAAGUGACUGACUUGUUCACAGAAACACUGUUGUAUUUGGCACGACUCGUUAGUUACAGUCUGCUCAAAGUCUGUUGCCGCUCAAGGCCACUUUCCCCACUACCAUCAACGUUUUAAUUCAUCUUUCUCCUUUAUAAAUCUGUUACAUAUUUCGAAUGUGACAAUUCAGCCACAUUAACUGACAGGAAAUGUGGCUAGAAUUGCAAUGAAAUAAUACAGAAAUCAGUAACGAACAUCAGAAGGAAUUAUGAAUUUUAAAUAAUACAUUAGCCAUAUUAAAGCCGUACGAAAGAAAUUAUGAAUAUGUACGAAUUAACAAAAAUAAACGGGAAAUAUAAUAUUAUAUAAUCAUAUUAUGCAACAUAAAACUCUGCGAUCGACGUUAUAAAAAAUAAGAUAAAAAAGAAUUAAAAGAGGUAUCACGUAUUUUCCCAAUAAAUAUCGACUUAAAUAUCGUACUGAAAAUAACUUUAAAAAAUGAUACAUUUUAUGACCUAUUAAAAUUCAUAAGAGAACCAAAGAUCCAUCAAUCCACAACGUGAUCCAACAAGGCUU